rnacentral:rRNA from 1 species
GAAACUCCCCCCCCCCAGGGGGGAAAAGAAGUCGAAAUGGGCAAUCCGCAGCCAAGUCCUACAGCCUUCCUCUUGUCGGGGAGGCCACGGACGCUGUUCACAGGCCAAAUGGUAGUGGGUGAACCUACCGGGUUCGCUUAAGAUAUGGUCGGUCUCUGGGCGAAAGCCUAGGGGUAAGUUUCACUGAAACCCUCCACAACGUUCCGUAGGUGAACCUGCGGAAGGAUCAUUAAUGAGUUAGGGUCUUCCUAGGCCCGACCUCCCAACCCUUUGUUUACUAGACCUCAGUUGCUUCGGCAGGCCCGUCUUAAUCUGACCGCUGGAGGACCGCUUAAUGCGGGCGUUGCCUCUGGCCAGUGUCUGCCGACAGCCUAAUCUCCUAACUCUGGAUCAAUCAUGAUUUACAAUGUCUAAGUGAUUUUAUUCAAUUAAAAGCAAAAACUUUCAACAACGGAUCUCUUGGUUCUGGCAUCGAUGAAGAACGCAGCGAAAUGCGAUAAGUAAUGCGAAUUGCAGAAUUCCAGUGAGUCAUCGAAUCUUUGAACGCACAUUGCGCCCUUUGGUAUUCCGAAGGGCAUGCCUGUUCGAGCGUCAUUAUCACCCCCUCAAGCCCCUGUGCUUGGUGUUGGACGGCUUGGUGGAGUAAGUUCACGCUUUCCACCCCUCCUAAAGACAAUGACGGCGGCCUGCGGAGCCCCCGGUACACUGAGCUUCUUAACUGAGCACGUAUCGGAUGAAGGGCACCCGGGACCCGGUCUUCUCCCUCACGGGAACACGUUUUUUUCUAAGGUUGACCUCGGAUCAGGUAG